AAGUCGUAACAAGGUUUCCGUAGGUGAACCUGCGGAAGGAUCAUUAUCACGUUGCAAAACACAUCAACCUUGCGUGCACUCGGUUCCUUCAGAGCAUUUAUAUGGGUUUGGUGGUUUGGGUUGUUUGUUGAAGUGGUUUGGAACACCCGCCAUCUUUGGUUUCACAGUCUUCUGAUUGUUUGACCAGCCCUGUUCUGAAGAGCUGUUUUUUUGCGGUACCACCUCAGCCGCGUCUUGUUUCACCUUUUUCCUUUUUAAACUCCUGUACGAUUAAUGAACUGAUUUGGUUCUUUUGUCUGGUCAUUCAGUUGAUCGCGAAAGAAUUCACUUACAAAAACAUCAAAACAACUCUUAACAACGGAUAUCUUGGUUCCC
rnacentral:misc_RNA from 1 species